GGUUCCAUAGUGUAGCGGUCAUCACGUCUGCUUUACACGCAGAAGGUCCUGGGUUCGAGCCCCAGUGGAACCA